rnacentral:rRNA from 1 species
GACGAACGCUGGCGGCGUGCUUAACACAUGCAAGUCGAACGGAAAGGCCCUGCAUUUGUGGGGUGCUCGAGUGGCGAACGGGUGAGUAACACGUGAGUAACCUGCCCUUGACGUUGGGAUAACUUCAGGAAACUGGGGCUAAUACCGGAUAGGAGCUCCUGCUGCAUGGUGGGGGUUGGAAAGUUUCGGCGGUUGGGGAUGGACUCGCGGCUUAUCAGCGUGUUGGUGGGGUAGUGGCUUACCAAGGCUUUGACGGGUAGCCGGCCUGAGAGGCUGACCGGCCACAUUAGGCCUGAGAUACGGCCCAGACUCCUACGGGAGGCAGCAGUGGGGAAUAUUGCACACUGGGCGGAAGCCUGAUGCAGCAACGCCGCGUGCGGGAUGACGGCCUUCGGGUUGUAAACCGCUUUCGCCUGUGACGAAGCGUGAGUGACGGUAAUGGGUAAAGAAGCACCGGCUAACUACGUG